rnacentral:lncRNA from 1 species
AAAAAUUUAAAAAAAAGAAAAAGAACGGGGGAUUACCUGAGAACGGGAGAAACAAACAUGUGUAGGUUCAACAAAAUGAGGAGAAGUUCUCACUGAUCUCUGCACAUACCAUCAACAACAAACUUAAAUUAAUUCAUUGAUAUAAAAAAACAAAGUAACAAAAGAAAAUAGCCUGCAUAAUGGAGGUAGUACCCUUCACCCAGCAACACUCACAACACUCACAGUACCCUCUCACUCAAACGUCCCUUAUUAUAACAACUUGUAACAUUGCACUCUCCAAUAAUAAAUUGACACGUCAUAUAUAUACUACACUCUCCACUACUCUAUGUCUACUAUAAAAUUUACAAAUAAAAUUACUUAACUAACUUCGUCUUAUUUUAAAAAGCAUAAUGUUUUUAUUUUCUUUUUUUUAAUAUAUAAAAAUCUCAUAUAUAUUUAAAUGAUUAUUGUCAAUAUAUCAUCUCUUAUAUAAAUCAUAUUAUUAUUUUCAUGUUAAUUCUAUAAAUAAAUCAUUUUUAAGAAAUCAUUUGUUACUAAUUAUUAAUCUAAUUUAAUUUUAUACAAAUUAUAAAUUAUCAGAGAAUGUUCGCAGUAUAAUUUAGAUUCAUCCAAUCACAAAAUAAUAAGAUGUAGAAAAAUUGUUUUUUCGUGUAUAUAUAUAUACGAAGUUAUUUGCUACUUACGUUAUGUUUAGUAGCAAUGAACUUGAUGAUUAGUAAUGAAUUUGUUUCAUUUUGUGCAUUCUUCUGUGUUUGAGUUUGAUAUAUAUAAAAAUCAAAUAAAAAAAUUUAAAAAAAGAAAAAGAACGGGGGAUUACCUGAGAACGGGAGAAACAAACAGUGUGUAGGUUCAACAAAAUGAGGAGAAGUUCUCACUGAUCUCUGCACAUACCAUCAACAACAAACUUAAAUUAAUUCAUUGAUAUAAAAAACAAAGUAACAAAAGAAAUAGCCUGCAUAAUGGAGUAGUACCCUUUCACCCAGCAACACUCACAACACUCACAGUACCCUCUCACUCAAACGUCCCUUAUUAUAACAACUUGUAACAUUGCACUCUUCCAAUAAUAAAUUGACACGUCAUUAUAUACUACACUCUCCACUACUCUAUUGUCUACUAUAAA